UGCAGUCGAGCGAACAGAUAAGGAGCUUGCUCCUUUGACGUUAGCGGCGGACGGGUGAGUAACACGUGGAUAACCUACCUAUAAGACUGGGAUAACUUCGGGAAACCGGAGCUAAUACCGGAUAACAUAUUGAACCGCAUGGUUCAAUAGUGAAAGGCGGCUUUGCUGUCACUUAUAGAUGGAUCCGCGCCGUAUUAGCUAGUUGGUAAGGUAACGGCUUACCAAGGCAACGAUACGUAGCCGACCUGAGAGGGUGAUCGGCCACACUGGAACUGAGACACGGUCCAGACUCCUACGGGAGGCAGCAGUAGGGAAUCUUCCGCAAUGGGCGAAAGCCUGACGGAGCAACGCCGCGUGAGUGAUGAAGGUCUUCGGAUCGUAAAACUCUGUUAUCAGGGAAGAACAAAUGUGUAAGUA
rnacentral:rRNA from 1 species